ensembl:snRNA U6 U6 spliceosomal RNA
GUGUUUGCUUUGGCAGCGCAUAUAAUAAAACUGGAAUGAUACAGAGUAGAUUAGCAUGGCUCCUGUGCAAGGAUGACACCCAAAUUCGUGAAGUGUUCCAUAUUUUU